rnacentral:rRNA from 1 species
UACGUAGGUGGCAAGCGUUGUCCGGAUUUACUGGGCGUAAAGCGUGCGCAGGCGGUUGUGCAAGACAGAUGUGAAAUCCCCGGGCUCAACCUGGGAAUUGCAUUUGUGACUGCACGGCUAGAGUGUGUCAGAGGGGGGUAGAAUUCCACGUGUAGCAGUGAAAUGCGUAGAUAUGUGGAGGAACACCGAUGGCGAAGGCAGCCCCCUGGGUUAACACUGACGCUCAUGCACGAAAGCGUGGGGAGCAAACAGG